rnacentral:rRNA from 1 species
AACAGGAUUAGAUACCCUGGUAGUCCACGCCGUAAACGAUGUCGACUUGGAGGUUGUGCCCUUGAGGCGUGGCUUCCGGAGCUAACGCGUUAAGUCGACCGCCUGGGGAGUACGGCCGCAAGGUUAAAACUCAAAUGAAUUGACGGGGGCCCGCACAAGCGGUGGAGCAUGUGGUUUAAUUCGAUGCAACGCGAAGAACCUUACCUACUCUUGACAUCCAGAGAACUUAGCAGAGAUGCUUUGGUGCCUUCGGGAACUCUGAGACAGGUGCUGCAUGGCUGUCGUCAGCUCGUGUUGUGAAAUGUUGGGUUAAGUCCCGCAACGAGCGCAACCCUUAUCCUUUGUUGCCAGCGGUUAGGCCGGGAACUCAAAGGAGACUGCCAGUGAUAAACUGGAGGAAGGUGGGGAUGGCGUCAAGUCAUCAUGGCCCUUACGAGUAGGGCUACACACGUGCUACAAUGGCGCAUACAAAGAGAAGCGACCUCGCGAGAGCAAGCGGACCUCAUAAAGUGCGUCGUAGUCCGGAUUGGAGUCUGCAACUCGACUCCAUGAAGUCGGAAUCGCUAGUAAUCGUGGAUCAGAAUGCCACGGUGAAUACGUUCCCGGGCCUUGUACACACCGCCCGUCACACCAUGGGAGUGGGUUGCAAAAGAAGUAGGUAGCUUAACCUUCGGGAGGGCGCUUACCACUCUGUGAUUCAUGACUGGGGUGAAGUCGUAACAAGGUAACC